GACCCAGACACGGGUCUUUCUGGAUCUAUUGCGAAUUGCAAUAUAACUUCUCCAUUUCUGGAGGAAACGGAGAAGGAUGGGGAUGGGGAUGGAGAUGAAUGAAAUCUCAGGACCUUCCGUCACAGUUUUCAAGGCAGGCGGUGGACCGGCCACCAAAUGGCGGAUGUUGCACAUAAUAGUAGCCCUUGGAAUUUGGCUCGGC
rnacentral:misc_RNA from 1 species